ACGUAUGUUCUUCCAAUGUUCUUUCUCCAAAAGAUUAUGGAGAGCUUCACCUCUGGGCUUUAAUUUUGAUGCGGGGGAUCCGAUUCCAGUGGUCGGUGGCUUGCAGGUUGGAUUAAGGAAGCGCCGAGCAAAGAAGUAAUCUGGAACUCGGUGCUUUUAAUGUGGAUUAUUUGGUGUACGCAUAAAGGUGUGCUAUUUAGUGGGGACUGCUGUAAAGUAGAUGAUUCUUUAGCUCGUUUUGCAGUUGCGAAGUUCUCAAGCUCAAGCCGAAGAUGUUGAAUGUGGACAGGUCAGAGUCUGUUUGCACAUGGGGCAUGGAAGUCCGACUUGAUGAGUGGUGCUGCUGCUUGAGCAAGAAAGCGAGAAGGGGGAACUAAUCUGAUGCAACAAGUUGAAGUUAUUCGAGCAUCUUCAGCGUCUUUGGUGAAAAUCACGGCAGGGUUGCAAGUGCUGGAAUGGGCCAUCAACAAUGGGAUUGAAGCAGUGAGCAUUCACACAGAUUGCCUGGUUUUUGUUCAAGGGCCUAAUAAAGCUAGUUCUUCUCUUAGACAUGCAUUUUUUUUUCUUCUGUUAUCUAUGUUCUUAUUUUAAUUUUUUAAAAGUUAUUAAGGUACCGAGACUGGAUGUUAAGCCUGCUCAUGAUUUGCUAGAGCGGCUUUACUAUGCUUGUAAUGUUUAUUCUAAAGGAAUGAUCUUGUUCGUGAAAAAAGAAAAAACUCUCAUUGCAGUUC